rnacentral:rRNA from 11 species
AUAUAAGGCCAAAAUAACCUAAAAGCACCAAUCCUGUCUGAUCUUGGAAGCUAAGCAAGGUCACCCCUGGCAAGUUUUUGGAAGAGAGAAUGCCAAGAAAUACUGGGUUCUGUAGGAU